GCCAAAAAAAAAAAAAAAAAAUCCUCGCCCUCCGCGGCGACAAACUCGACGCCUAGUGGCAGUUAAUCCAUCCGUCUCCCUGCCCCUUCUCUCUUCCCUCACAAAGUUCCAAUGCUUGCCCCUUUUCCCCCAAAGCAUUAUCUUCCAAUCCAUUAAACCCUAAGAGAAGGAACCAAAUAAUAAGCUUUCCCUUGUUAAUUUAGUCGAAAGAUUGAUAAAAAAAUAUGAGUUCUUUCGAUUCAGAUCGAAUGGAGCUCACCCUCAUUUGGUGAAUAUCCAGUUCCAGAAGGAGGUCAAGCUGCAUGAUUUUGAUUCCCUGUUAUUUGUUCUGUUCGUCGAUUUUGAACCCUUUUGUCGAAUUUUAUUCACGAAUUUUGCUAUCAAAUUGGUUCUCAAUGGAAUGCUAACAUCCGGUUCAGCUACUAGUUCUCUAUGUGGAUAUCAAUCUCGACGAAAGCUGCACGCCGAACGAGAUCUCUAUUCGUGCUGGUGAUGCUUUCGACAACAUGAAGGUCGUCCUUUUCGAUUCACAAAUUAAAAUAAAAAUAUUUCUCAAUCUUUUGUUUUAAUUAUAAUUUUUUGAUCACUUUGUUAGAAUGUAUAGAUAAUUUGUAUAGAUGGCCCGAAUCUUCUGAUUGUUUUUAGUCCGAACGGAAUCGAAACUUAGUCGAGUAUCUGACUUGAUGUCUUUUGAAAGUUUCAUUUGGCUUUCAUGCUCUUUGCGCUCCGGGAGAGAGUUGUGGAGCUUGUCAAGCAAGUCGGCUCACAUUUCACAAACCUUUAUCUGGAACUGAUCUUCGCCAACUGAUACGUGUCAGGAGAAGGCACUGGUGAUGAUUGCUGCUAAGAGCUCAGAUAGGAAAGAAAGUUAUAAGGCUCGCAAACGUUCCCAAAUUUCGCGAGCUAUCGUACCUUAUUUGAUGCAAGAGGGAGCCAGAGAGCAGAUGCAAAGGCCACAGAACUGUUCCUCUGGGGUUGUGAUGGUUGCGGAGACCAUGGAUCCUUCCCCAUGGAAGUUUUUAAGGAUACGGAUGCAGUGGAACUGGUCCUUAGCUUUGUCUACAGAGCAAGGUAAGGAAUUCAAGGGUGCUUAUCUUCCGUUGUGGUAGCUAAAGCCAUUGAGUUUGUCUUGAAGACGAAGCAAAAGAACAAACACAAAAAGAAUUAGGCGAAUCAGCUCAUGAUGGUAGGAGAUGAGGUUUGCCUGGAUCCGGACUUCGAACUGGAUUGAAUCAACAAGGAUUCGAUUGUGAAGAAUGCCAAAUAAUUUUCAUAGUCCAGUGCAAUCCGGCUCAUUGCCAAAUGCUUGAUUGCAUGGAUUGGCACGUUGAGUAAAAUUUAACAAGGCUCGCUGGAGUUCAUCUGCAUGGUAGAAUGAACUACGCCAAUAAAAAAGUGAAAUGGGUAAACUAGAAUAUAAUUACUCUCCCUUUGAGCUAAACAAAUUCUGGUUAAAGUGGGUUGAUUGGGGGAAUUGACGUGCAGAUAAUUGUCUGGCAAAUAAGGAGCCUAUGUUGUUACCUCCUAAUCAAUAAUAAUCCCAAACCAAAUGGCAUAGAAAUACAAGCAUGACCUAUGAAAUACACAUGCUCAAAUGGCGUUUCAUGCUAA